ensembl:misc_RNA Metazoa_SRP Metazoan signal recognition particle RNA
GUCGGGCGCGGUGGCGCGCGUGGGGGGCUGAGGCUGGCGGACCGUUUGAGCUCAGGGGUUCUGGGCUGUAGUGGACUAUGUCGAUCGUGUGUCUGCACUAAGUUCGGAAUCGAUAUGGUGCUCCUGAGGGAGCUCGGGACCACCAGGUCGCCUAAGGAGGGGUGAACCGGCCCAGGUCGGAAACGGAGCAGGUCAAAGCCAAUGGACAUGCUAAAUUGCUCGUAGGUGUGUGUAGGGCUCACAUCUAAGUUGUUCAGUUGAAGUGGAAUACU